AUUGAACGCUGGCGGCAUGCUUUACACAUGCAAGUCGAACGGCAGCGCGGGCUUCGGCCUGGCGGCGAGUGGCGAACGGGUGAGUAAUGCAUCGGAACGUGCCCAGUAGUGGGGGAUAGCCCGGCGAAAGCCGGAUUAAUACCGCAUACGACCUGAGGGUGAAAGCGGGGGACCGAAAGGCCUCGCGCUAUUGGAGCGGCCGAUGUCGGAUUAGCUAGUUGGUGGGGUAAAGGCUUACCAAGGCGACGAUCCGUAGCUGGUCUGAGAGGACGACCAGCCAUACUGGGACUGAGACACGGCCCAGACUCCUACGGGAGGCAGCAGUGGGGAAUUUUGGACAAUGGGGGCAACCCUGAUCCAGCCAUGCCGCGUGCGGGAAGAAGGCCUUCGGGUUGUAAACCGCUUUUGUUCGGGAAGAAAUCCUCUGGGCUAAUACCCCGGGGGGAUGACGGUACCGGAAGAAUAAGCACCGGCUAACUACGUG
rnacentral:rRNA from 1 species